rnacentral:rRNA from 1 species
UACGUAGGGGGCAAGCGUUGUCCGGAAUUAUUGGGCGUAAAGCGCGCGCAGGCGGUCCUUUAAGUCUGAUGUGAAAGCCCACGGCUCAACCGUGGAGGGUCAUUGGAAACUGGGGGACUUGAGUGCAGAAGAGGAAAGCGGAAUUCCACGUGUAGCGGUGAAAUGCGUAGAGAUGGGGAGGAACACCGGUGGCGAAGGCGGCCCCCUGGACGGUAACUGACGCUGAGACGCGAAAGCGUGGGGAGCAAACAGG